rnacentral:rRNA from 1 species
UACGUAGGGGGCCAGCGUUGUCCGGAAUCAUUGGGCGUAAAAGCGCGCGUAGGCGGUCAGGUAAGUCCGGUGUGAAAGUCAAAGGCUCAACCUUUGAAUGCCGCUGGAUACUGCUUGACUUGAGUCCGGAAGGGGCGAGUGGAAUUCCUGGUGUAGCGGUGAAAUGCGCAGAUAUCAGGAGGAACACCGAUGGCGAAGGCAGGUCUCUGGGCAUUAACUGACGCUGAGGAGCGAAAAGCAUGGGGGAGCGAACAGG